rnacentral:rRNA from 1 species
UGCGUAGGUGGUUUCUUAAGUCAGGAGUGAAAGGCUACGGCUCAACCGUAGUAAGCUCUUGAAACUGGGAAACUUGAGUGCAGGAGAGGAAAGCGGAAUUCCUAGUGUAGCGGUGAAAUGCGUAGAUAUUAGGAGGAACACCAGUGGCGAAGGCGGCUUUCUGGACUGUAACUGACACUGAGGCUCGAAAGCCAGGGGAGCGAACG